CGAAACUUAUAAAUUUAAUCCGGAUUUGAAUUUAACCCAACUAAUUAAUGAAAACAACCCCAAGGUAACAAAGACACGAAUGACCUUUUCAUUACACAAUUAAUUGAACCUUACCCGAGUUUUGAACGCCACAAGAUCGCGGAAUUUUGAUAAGUUCGGUUGUUCCACACAAGAACAAUUAUUGGAAGCGAAAAAGCCUCUCGAAUUAAUUUUCAAAAUAUCGAAGUCUUCGAAUACAAUAGUGAAAUAAAUUUCCUAUUUAUAUUAAUGUCUAGAAAUAUGGGGAAAAAAACCUGAUUUAAGAGUCCUAAAAUAAUAAACUUACCAAAAAUAAAAAAUUGAGUUAAAGUAGGAUUCUCGCGAGGAUACUGUAACUUUGGUCCCGAAGUAUACUAUGCGGCCGACUUUGGCCUAAUCCAGAUCAUAACAUCCCUUCUCUCUUCGAAAAGAUUCGACCUCGAAUCUGAACUUGGUUCAAAUACUUUGCACCUUCCAUCUGCUUGAUCAAUGUUGAACUCUUGAUUGAGCUUCUUGUACCCCGCGUUGCAAUGGUUGAUUAAUUCCUCUUCAAUGCUCCAAAGUUACUCCAUUUGUUGUACAUCAAUGAAAUACUUAAAUGGUGCUUUCUCAUGCAAUAAAUUUUUUUUCCUACAGUAAGGAAUGUUUCAAACUAGAGAGGAAUAUGUUAGCCUUCACCAACUCUCAUCCACCACCAAGCUCAAUCUUCUUUGCAUGUAAGCUCUCCUUUCAUUUUUCUUUCAUUUUCCCCUCAUCGCCUUUCAACCUCAACUAAUCAUCAUACACUUGUUGUGGUGUCAAAGGGACAAGUGUAACUGUUUUUCCAUCCAUGUCAAAGUUGUACCUAUUUCUAAAUCCAUCAUGCUUCACCUUCCUAUCAUAUUACCACGGCCUACCCAAUAAUAUAUGCCCUGCAUCCAUAGGCACAAUAUCACACAACACUUCAUCCUUAUACAUCUCAAUUGACAAAUUCAAUAACACCCUCUUGUUCACCUUAACCUCUCCAUAAUCAUCCAACCACUGUAAUCUAUAUGGUUUUGGGUGUUUAAUUGUUUUUAAACAUAACUUCUUGAUUAAUGUGGUACUAGCUAAAUUUGUGCAAUAACCUCCGUCAAUUAUUAAAUUACAUACCUUAUUUUCCACGUGGCAUCAUGUAUGGAAGAUAUUUUCCUGCUAUUGCUCCUCUUCAUCCACCUUGAUUUGCGAACUGAGUGCACGCAUCACCACCAAUGCGUCCCCUUCAACUGGGUACUCCACCCCGUCAUCAUCACUAACAUCUUCUAACUUGGGCAUUCCAUCUUCAUCACUGUCACUCACCACUUCCCCGCUGUCUUUCAAAACCAUGGCUCGUUUGUUUGGAUACUGAGAAAUAAUGUGUUCUAUCCCCAAGCAAUUGAAGCACUUGAUGUCCGGAUUCCUAACCAUGCCAGCGUUGUUAUCCUUUCCCCUAGGUGGUUCAAUUUUAUUGUUGACAACAGGCCAUUAACCUUCUCUUCAUCCCACCUAGACCUCCAAGAUGAAUUAGGCCCCUGUUGAUUCCUAGCUCCCCAUUUUCUCUUCAACUGUCUCUCAACCUUCAUUGCUACAUGCAACAUAUCCUCUAGUUCCAUGUAAUGCUGCAAUUCAACAAUAUUGGCGAUAUCCCUGUUCAACCCAUUCAGGAAUCGUGCCAUGGUGGCUACCCGGUCCUCCUUCACAUUAGCUCGAAUCAUUAGAAUUUCCAUCUCUUUAUGGCAAUCCUCUACACUCCUCGGCCCUUGGUACAAUCCCUGCAACAUUUAAUGAAGCUCCCUAUAAUAGUGGCCAGGCACAAACUGUUUUCUCAUCACCGCUUUCAACUCAUCGCAAGUAGUUAUCGGCCUCUCCCUAUUCCUCCGCCGUGAAGUGACCACCUGAUCCCACAGUGAACUCCAAGACUGCAACCUUUACUUUCUUCUUCUCCGAGUAGUUGUGGCACUCAAAUAUCAACUCCACCUUUUUCUCCCACUCAAGAAAUACCUCUGGAUCACUCCUACCCCGAAAUGUUGGAAUUGACAUUUUAAUGCUACCCAUACCUCCAUCACCGUCUUCUCCCCCAUAGUUUCUGCCCUUCAUUCAAACCUACAAUCUCUAUUCCUCAUCCGUCCCAUCUUUACUUCUUCAAAUUCAUCAUCAUCUCAUUCACUGCCAUACCCAUAUUCAUUUUGCAUAUUCACCCUAGGCUCUCGUCUAGCCAGCCUCCUAAUAUAUGGUAUGUCUGCCUGUUGACCCCGACUAAGGUUUGUAACCGUAGCGUCUAGCUCGUCCAACCUAUUCUCUACACAAAUUAUCAUGCGCUCAAAUCGCUGCAUCAUAUCGUCUGCCAUGUUAUUUUGAUUUCCAUCCUGCUCGAAGUGGAUCCUUCCCGUUCUGACAUUCUCACGAAUUUUAUUUCUCAUUAAAAUUUCACUCGGGAUCACUCAAUAUUUGACUUUUACCCUCAAUUAAACUCACCACUCAGCAUUUUACCACUCAAGCUUUCAAUCAAUGUCCAAAGAACAAUUUUCAAACUCAACGAGAAUGAUUCUUGUGGAAUUCCAAUUGAAUUGUGCAGAUUCAAGAUUAGGAAGAAAAAGGACUAAAGUAUUAAAUAGAAUUUUUGGAGGGACUAAAAAAAAUCAAUUUUUUUUAUUAAUGAACAGUACAGUACGGAUGAACAGUAACAUUAAAUUUUUUUAAAAAAACACAAAACAAUUAGAUUACUAAAAACUUUAGAUCUAGAACUAAAACUUAAUGGGAAACACGAAGAACAACGAAAACAAAGACUCAAAAAUAAGAAGAAAAAAACAAAGGGAUAUAACUUUGAUUCUGGUGCUUAAACUCUGAUACCACCUGAUGUGAACCCGGUAGCAACGAACACUAAUGAACCCGCAGAAGAAUAACACAAAUCCCAAGAAAGUCAAAAAUCAAAGUUUAGGACUCAAUUCACAAUUUUGGGAACUAAACAACCAAUAGUAUAUUAAACUAUUGACAUUUUGAUCACGAAACUUAUAAAUUUAAUCCAGAUUUGGAUUUAACCCAACCAAUUAAUGAAUCAAACAACCUCAAGGUAACAAAGACACGAAGGACCUUUUGAUUACACAAUUAAUUGAAUCUUACCCGAGUUUUGAACGCCACAAGAUUGCAAAAUAUUGAUAAGUUCGAUUAUUCCACACAAGAACAAAUAUUGGAAGCAAAAAAGCCUCUCGAAUUAAUUCUCAAAAUAUCUAAGUAUUCGAAUACAAUAAUGAAAUAAAUUUCCUAUUUAUACUAAAGUUUAGACAUAUGGAAAACCUGAUUUAAGAGUUCUGAAAUAAUAAACUUGCCAAAAAUAAGAAAUUGAGUCAAAAUAGGAUUCUUGCGAGGAAAUUGCAACUUUGGUCUCGAAGUAUACUUUGCGGCCGACUUUGGCCUAACCCGGAUCAUAUCAUCACCCAUGCCAUUCAAAUCACAAACCAUCAUCGUCACUGCCACCAACACUUGUGAUAACAACUACCACUCCGACCACCACCACGACCCACUACCAACAUCACACCACCCCAACUCAUCCCUAAUGUACUCUAGCCCAAUGGUAGAUCGAAACCUAGAACUCGACCAACAUCACCAACAACUCACAUCACAACCAUAACCAUCGCCAACAUCUCGACCACCAUAGCGCUACGUGUGUAGCGCCGUCACAAUAUCGUAGCUCGAUGGAUGCCGACGAUGUCUUUUCUUUCCAACGGUGUUUUCUAGCGAAAGCAGUGCCGCUUUGAGUUGCGUUGUCAAAGGCCACCAAAGUCUCACCACCAUCACGAUUCAGCACUGUUGCCAUUGCCACACCACCAUAGCACAUCACAAAAAAAAAAAAAAAAAAGAAACCCCCAAAUUUGACAUCGAAAUGGCCACCACGAUGAAGAAAAUGAAAAUAUAAACCUUGUCACCCAAAUUAGCAGUUAUCGCCGGAGCCGGAAUUGCUUUCUUAAGCUGCCAGAGAAAGAGAGAGAGAGAAAAAGAAGAUGGGUAAGAGAAGAAAUUGGAGAAUGAAAUUGAUUAGACUAAGUAAUUGGAGAGAGAAG
rnacentral:lncRNA from 1 species